rnacentral:snRNA from 1 species
AAUUUGGAUCAGCCACGACGCCAUGAUCAGGAAGGUGGUUUCCCCAGGGUGAAGCUCAUCCACAGCACUCCGGGUGUACUGACCCCUGCGGUCUCCCCAAAUGCGGGAAACCCGACGGCAUAAUUUGUGGUAGUGGGGGACUGCAUUCGNNCUUUCCCCUC